AAGAGCAAAUAUUUUAUGAGAGCUGUUACUCCGAGUUGAUUGGAUGGGCAAAGUGAAACCACAGAAUUGGGCUUUAAAACCAAGUGGAUUUACUCUGCUAAAUUUUACAACUAGGAUCUUCUGCUCUGGGUGGAGAGUUGGACAAAAUAACUUCGAAUUUGAGAAACUGCCGCGAUGAAUGUCAGUCCCCAGAGCCGGAACCGUUCCCGGUUUUCUCUACUUGGAUCUGAGAACUCUGUCCCUCCAGCCCUGCGAGCGCUUUGCCAGGGUGACGGGCGGAAAUGUCCCCGCAUCCGUGCCUGCUUUCCCAGAUGGGACCCUCCAGCAGUCCCCUCCACUGCCCGUGCUUCCUCCUAACCACUUCCCCCCAGCGACCGCGGAAGGCGCUUCCUCCCCCGCAGCGCGAGCCCCAAGCUCCUCCAGAGCCCCAGCUCUCCCCGCCCCCUUCCCGACCUUGUUUCAUAUGACCCCUCCCCCGCACAUACUCAAUUUCGUCUUCCCAAGGCGCCCACUCUCCACAUCCUGAUGAAAAAAAGAGCCGGCUGCUGUCCUAUGUUAUUGUCAUACUUCUUUCCUCCCGUGCACUACACAACUUGAACAACUUUUUUUUUUCUUUUUUUGAGAAAAGGUCUCGAACUGUCGCCCAGGCUGGAGUACAGUGGCACGAUGAUGGCUCACUGCAGCCUCGCCCUCUCUGGGCACAGGUGAUCCUCCUGCCUCAGCUUCCCAAGAAGCUGGUACUACAGGCGCGUGCCACCACUAUUGGCUAAUUUUAAUUUUUUUUUAACCACAGGGUCUCGCUAUGUUGCCCAGGCUGGUCUCGAACCCCUAGGCUCAAGGGAUCCUCUCACCUCAGCCUCCCAAAGCGUGAGAUUACAGGCGUGAGCCACCGCGCCCCGCGGUAAAUACUAUUCCAAGGAAAUGGCACCUGAGUUUGAGGAGAUUAAUCGGGUUUACUGCAGGGAAGGAGCAUUGGCCCUGGUGGCCAGAGGCAAGGGUACGAACCUGACCCUGCCCUUUCCCUGCCUGGUUCUGCCUUCAGCAAAUUGUUCCACACAUCUCUGGUUUCCUCCCCACAUGAUCCCAAGGCCCUGCUGGCUCUAGCCUUUGUGAGGCUAGAAUUACAAUUCCAUUCCUCCCCAGCCACGCCCCAUCUCUUGCUCCCUGUGCUAGCGCUUUCCCCAAUCAGCCACACUUUCCUUUCCCAUUCACUGAGCCUGUGGAAAGCCCUCUUAUUCUGAAUAUCUAGAUCCUAUUCACCUUUGAAGACCCGACUUGGCCACGUUUCUUCCCAAAGCCUACUGCAUGCCCUUUGUGGGAGGAACUGCUCUGUCCUUGCAACGCCACUGUGUGUAGUACUUUCUCUGUAUCUUACCAGUGGCAUCGCCCACUCUGCCUGGGGUGCUGUUCCAUACUUGCCCUUCUUCCAGUGCCAUCUAUGUGUGUGGUAAGACCUCAGCAUAGCACUUUGCCCACGGUAAAGGAUAUGGUUUCGGGAGUCCCAAGACCCGGGUCCACGUCCCAGCUCUGACACUAAAUGUGUUAUCUUGAACAUGUCACAUGGCCUUUCUGAGCUUAAUUUCCCCAAAUGUAAAAUGGAAAUAGUAACUUAUUUCAUAGUGUUGCUGUGUUGAUUAGAUGAGACAUUAUAUAAGAAAAUGCUUUGUGAACUGUAAAGCUAUUUACACACAUAAAUAAUAGUAAAGAUAGAUAUUAUUCAGAUGCUGGCAAGAGGGAUAUUCUUUGCAAAACAGAAUUAAAAAAAAAAAAGAAAAGAAGGCAUGGUGGCUCAUCUCUAUAAACCCAACACUUAGCACUUAGGGAGGUCGAGGCGAGAGGAUCACUUGAGCCCAGGAGUUCAAAACCAGCCUGGGCAACAUAGCAAGACUCCCGUCUCUACAAAAAUAAAAUUAGCCUGGCAUGGUGGCAUGCGCCAUUAAUCCUAGCUAUUUGGGAGCCUGAGCCCAGGAAUUUGAGGUUACAGUGAAUUAUGAUCAUCCCACUGCACUGCAGCCUGAGUUGCAGAGCAUCUCUUGAAAAAAAAAACAAAAAUGUGGGAAAACUGUGGAAAAUGAAAAAGACUUCUUGGUUGCCAUCUCCAAAUUUGGGGACUGAUUCCUAAUUAUUCCUUUUAGAUCAAUUACCAGGUGAUGUUAAAUAUACUGUAAUAGUAAAAGCUAGAAAUAAUCUAACUUUUGAACAGUUGGAGGAUGAUGAAGUUAUGGGUAAUGGGAAUAAUAUGUUAUCAUCAAAGUUAAAUUUCUGAAGAAUAUUUAAUGACAUGGGAAACCAGUCAUAAUAUAACAUGAAAGCUAAAAAAGCAAGGUACUAAAUAGUGGUGGAGAGGAGGUGUAAGAAGAGACUUUUCUCACCACCCUUCACAGCUUUCUGUUUGGCCCCUGAGUGGGGUGUCUGAUGCCAGAGAACGUGGGACAUAUUCUAAGGCCUUAGUCUUACACAAAUAGCUCACUCCCUGCCUCCCAAGAGACAGGGAUUCAGAACAGGUGAACCAGGAGCCUAGAGCCUCAGGGGAGACCAAGGACUGUCCCAGAUCCAGGCCCUGAUUCUGUGGCCCAAUGGCCUGACAAUCUAAGGUCCUCUGUCUACCACUUCUUCCAGCCGGACUGUGGACCUCAAACAUAACCUCUCACUUCCUGCUUUGACACUGUUUCCAGAGUGGGUUUAUAGGAAAGACCUCCUCCAAAAAAGCAGGCUCCAACUACCAACACUAGAGAACUAAGCUCUAGCCAGGUGCAGUGGCUCACGCCUAAUCCCAGCACUUUGGGAGGCCGAGGGGGGCAGAUCACUUGAGGUCAGGAAUUCAAGAGCAGCCUGGCCAACAUGGCAAAUCCCUGUCUCUACUUUUAAAAAUACAAAAAUUAGCCGAGCGUGCUGGUGUGUGCCUGUAAUCCCAGCUACUUGGGAGGCUGAGGCAUGAGAAUUGCUUGAACCCAGGAGGCAGAGGUUGUAGUGAGCUGAGAUCACACCACUACACUCCAGCCCAGGCAAGGCAACAGAGCGAGACACCGCCUCAAAAAAAAAAAAAAGAAAAGAAAAGAAAAAGAGAGAACUAAGUUCCAAAAAGAGGGGCCAUGUGGGCCACAGGAGAGGACAAAAAUGAGCUGUCACUGGUGGUUGGGGAAGUGCAAGGGGCUCCAGAGAGAAGGUGACAUUUAUGCUGGUCAUGGGAUGGUAUUUGGCAAGUGGAGAUAUGAUCAUUAAAAGAAAGUUGUAUUGUUAUUAUCUUACAUUUCAUAGUUCAGGAUGGGGGAGGGGAGAUGUUUUGUUUAAAAUACCCUUUCUCCUCUUUUUUUUUUUUUGAGAUGGAGUCUUGCACUGUCACCCAGGCUGGAGUGCAGUGGCCCGAUCUCGGCUCACUGCAAGCUCUGCCU
rnacentral:lncRNA from 10 species